AAUUGUGAAUUUGGAGACGAUCCCUCGGCCUAUUUUGAGUGUAGCAAUGAUGCGGCUGGCAGAGCAACAUCCCAGGCAUAUAGCAUUCAAACUCUAUCCCAAGAUCGGGUUCAAUAUAUCAAAUUGAAAUAUGAG